AUUGAACGCUGGCGGCAGGCCUAACACAUGCAAGUCGAGCGGAGCGGCGGACGGGGGAGUAAGGCCUAGGAAUCUGCCUGGUAGUGGGGGAUAACGACCGGAAACGGGCGCUAAUACUGCAUACUAUCAGAUGAGCCUAGGUCGGAUUAGCUAGAUGGUGGGGUAAAGGCCUACCAAGGCGACGAUCCCUAACUGGUCUGAGAGGAUGAUCAGUCACACUGGAACUGAGACACGGUCCAAACCCCUACGGUAGGCAGCAGUGGGGAAUGUUGCACAAUGGGCGAAAGCCUGAUGCAGCCAUGCCGCGUGUGUGAAGAAGGUCUUCGGAUUGUAAAGCACUUUCAGCUGGGAGGCGUUACCAACAGAAUAAGCACCGGCUAACUUCGUGCCAGCCGCCGCGGUAAUAC
rnacentral:rRNA from 1 species